AGCAUCAAAGGAUAAAUGCUUGAAACAAUCUUAGGGAACCUUCUAACACAUCGCUAUUGUGUCGCGGUGUGGAUGAGAAGGCAGUUCUUUUCUGAUGGUGUU
rfam:Zea mays cultivar B73 chromosome 1, whole genome shotgun sequence.